rnacentral:lncRNA from 1 species
UUUUUUUUUUUUUAAUGCCCAGUUUCUAAGAAAAGGCCAUGAAGUGAUGGGAGCCCAUGGCAGGUAGCCCUCAGUGUUGGUCAUCCCCUCUCUACUGAGAUGCCUUCUCUCCAGGGUGGAGAUUAGCUGGAAAUCUUAGAUAAAACACCAUAACUCCCUCCCCGCCCUGAGAUCAAUAAUUCUGAGUUCACUUCUCCCUCCCAUUGUAGGGCAAGUAAAAUUAACUCAAGGAGAGGAAUAGGUAAGGAAUACAGAGGCACAGUUUCCAUGGCAACAGAGAGAAGCUGAGCCAACUUGAAAGGCUGCAUUUUCUAAUGAAGUUGUGGGUGUGUGCUGUUUUUCAUGACCAAACCUUAGAUCCUGGAGGGACCAUAAGCCAUUGUCCAGCCUCUUUCUUCUCCCCAUAGAUUGGAUGCCUUAGUCGCCUGUAGCUGUGUAGGCUGGUUUACACACGUGGCAACUAUUCUUGGAGUACCUGGGCCUGCCUCUCCCUGUCUCUACCUGCAUGCCGUCCAGCAGGAAGCUUCCUGGUUGGCCAUUCUUUCAGUAUUUCUACUUGAAGCAUGAAAGGGACCUUUGAAGAUUGCUCUCCUUUAUAACACCAGGAUGGCCAAAAAAGACAAUGUGCACGUGAUGGACAAAUAAUCUCCACAGGGGUCAGGCUGUUACCCUGAGGGUUUGUUGCUUGCUGGUUGGCUUGGAAACCUGUGUAGUCUAGCUUUUUAAGUAUCUGAUAUCUGGCAUUUUCUGCCAGAGAACACUUUCUACCCAGUGCCAAGAACAUUUUUAAUUGUAUUGAUUUGCAACUGCCUCUUCUAACAAGAAACCAAGAAAGUAUUGAUUGGUGCUUUAGGGAGUAAGAGUACCCUGGGAAUACUGUUCGGAUACAUUGUUCUUAAGUCUUAGUUGUGAGAGGCUCCUGUCUCAGUAGAGGGUCGAAUUCUUAGCACUGAAGAAACACUAAGAAGGUUGAACAAGGUAACCUAUUAAAAAUAGUUUAUGCUUUGCUAAUUAGUUUCGUCUCCCAUCUAACCUUGCCACAUUUGCUUUCAAUAUGAUAAAUCUAUAUUAGAAUGCUUAUGACAGGAGAUAUUCCUCUUCUUUCUCUUCCUUGCUGGCUCUUCCUUGAAAUCUCUUCUCAAAACGUUUGAAAGCUAUUAAGAACAUUCUUAUUUUUUUCUUCUUGGUAUGCAGCUUUUUAUUUAUUUAAUUUUUAAGUGUGUAUGUGUAAGUUUGGGCACAUGUGUCCCACCACUCAUCCAUGGAGGUCAGGUGUCUGUUCUUUCCUUCUGCCAUGGGGCCUUGGGGGUUAAACUCAGGUCUUUAGACCAUUGCAGCAAGUACCUUCACCCAUUGGGCCACCCUGCUAGCCCUUGAGUGGGCUUUUCAAAAUAGGGUCUCACUAUGUAGCCUUGGCUCCUCUGGAGUUUACUGUAUUAACCAAGUUGACCAUAAACUUGUAGUAAUCCUCUUACCUCAGUUUCCUGAUGAAAAUUCUAAAUUUUAAAUUAACAUGCAAAUGCUCAGUGGGUAAAGAGUACUUGUUACCAAGCCUCAGCUUCAAGACUCAUGCACAGUAGAAGGAAAAAGUUGAAAUCUAAACAACACUUUAGGAACCAUGGCAAUCAAGGAUAGACACACACACACACAUAUCUCAAAUAAAAGUAAUUAGUAAAAAGAAAAUAUCCAUGUAUUGGUGGCCAUGCGGUUCCCUUGAUUUUCUGAUUGUUUGUUUGAGACAGUGUCUCAUGUAGCCCAGGCUACCCCCAUGCUUGUUAUGAAAUAUUGGAUGAAUUUGGCUGAGAUCAAAGUCUGGAACUGCAGGCAUGCAGUACCACACCUGCACACUGUUGUUUCUUUAUUUUUGUUGUUUCUGGGCUUGGAUAAGGGCUUGCUGUGAACUCCAGACUGACCUGAAGCUUCCUGAACGUUGGGGUUACAGAUGUGCGUACCCCAUGCUGAUCUUGCUUACCUGGAUCAGUGUACCCACUUCUUAUUCUUCUGCCCCCCAGUUCUCUUAUUAGCUGUGCCUUUGUAACGGUGUGUUCAGAGGCAAACCAGCAUAGAGAGUGUCUAUCUGUCUGCUCCUUGGGGGUAAACUGAGAAGCUAUGGUUUAGGAUUCUCUGGGUCUCACAUUGAUAAUUUGUUAUUUCUAACUACAUUUUCCAGUUGAAAAUUUUUUCCGUAAAUCAGAUAGAAAAAUGUGUAGAGCGGAGUCAUCAUGUUUUAUAUGAGAAAUGCAAGCCAGAGACCUGGACUCUUAGAACCUUUAUUUUUAAAAGUGCUGUGUGUAGAUAUAUUCAGUGGGGAAAUUUUAAGUUACUUAAAUCCUUUUACAUUUGAAAAGUCUAUUUUCUUCAAGGCACACAAGACUUGGACCUCAAAAGUCUGGACAGAUUUGUUUUUCUUUCAAGACUUAUAUUAGAUAUUUUUAAAACACAUUUAAACAUUUUAAGGAAAACUGAAGUUCCCCUAUGUUAAUCCUCGUUAGAAACCAGGUGCCUCUUCCUCUGAGAUUUCUCUAGUUGUGUCUUGUUUUGUUAUAAAGAACAUCUGGCUCCUUUUUGUGUUGGGAAAAUCGUACUAUCAACUGGCAUUUAAGAUGAUACCUGAGGAGCCACUUAAUGAUGUGUGAGCAUG